rnacentral:pre_miRNA from 1 species
GGGGGGAGCACCGGAUUUUGGGCUGAGUCCCUGAUGCCCAGUGCUCCCGGGCCUGCACUGUUGGAAUCGCGCUCCCGGCUGUGCAGCUUCCU